rnacentral:rRNA from 1 species
AUUGAACGCUGGCGGCAGGUUUAACACAUGCAAGUCGCGCGAGCGGCGGACGGGUGAGUAAUGUCUGGGAAACUGCCUGCUGGAGGGGGAUAACUACUGGAAACUGUAGCUAAUACCGCAUACCUCCAAAUGUGCCCCGAUGGGAUUCGCUAGUCGGUGGGGUAAUGGCUCCCCUAGGCGACGCACCCUAGCUGGUCUGAGAGGAUGACCAGCCACACUGGAACGGAGACACGGUCCAGACUCUUACGGGAGGCAGCAGGGGGGAAUAUUGCACAAUGGGCGCAAGCCUGAUGCAGCCAUGCCGAGUGUGUGAAGAAGGCCUUCGGGUUGUAAAGCACUUUCAGCGAGGAGGCGUUACUCGCAGAAGAAGCACCGGCUAACUCCGUGCCAGCAGCCGCGGUAAUAC